ensembl:rRNA 5S_rRNA 5S ribosomal RNA
GCCUACAGCCAUUCCACCCCGAAAGCGCCUGAUCUCGUCUGAUCUCCGAAGCCAAGCAGGGCUGGGCACGGUUAGUACUUGGAUGGGAGAAAACAGAAAUAUUAGUCU